CUACAUUGCAGACGCACUCUCCACACCAUAUAUGUAUAACACUUAAACAGUGCAUUCACACUAAUCACGCCGUACACGUAUAGUAAUGUAUUCAUACAUAAUGUAUACAUACUCUCCAUACGGUAUAGGUACAAUAAUGCAUUCAAACACUACAAUAAUGCAUUCAUACACAUCUUACACAUGUGCAAUUUAAUCAACCACGACUCAGUUUCCUUUGAAUACCAAAUGACAUAUAGCACAAUGGAUGUGAAUGAUAAUCAUUAUUCUGUGCGUACAUGUAAGAGUAUUCGAAUAGGUAUUUAGGGUACACUGCAGGUCACGUGAUUAUUUGGUCUAAAUAAUGAGACCAGGCUCCGCGCUAAGUUAUAGAAGGGGCAUUAGUGAAAAAGUGAAGCUUAGAUAAAGAGUGAGCUCGUGUAAAGUUUAUGGCCCCGGAGUCUGAAGUCACCGCUGACCUCACUAUGUGGGUUGGGCAGUGCCUCAGAACCCUCCUAACUUUUGGCACUCAAUUUAGGAAUGAUAUCCUGCAUGUAUAGACUGAGAGAUGUUCACCCAAAGCUGAAAGAGGUGCUACAUGAUUGGAUGAAUUCAAGAAUGAAAUAACUUUUAAUUGAAAUACUGGAAGUGCUUAAAUCAAUUGUCGAAAUGAGAAAGUAUUGCACAAAAUUAUCAUAGUUGGGAUCAUGUGUUGAAAAUGAGAGGUGUAAUCCACUGCAAAUUACUGCAUGCUGUUAAGAACCACAAACAUAGCCUAUAAAUACAAUGGAACCCUGUAUAUGUGUGUGGUUUUUAAUAUCAACGCUUGGAAUGCACUUUCAAAUAACAGUGGAUAUUUGUCUAAAACUAUUAUAGUGAAUUAGUGAAAGGCCCAAAGGAUGGUAUUGAAUUCUAUGGGAAACGAAUUGGUACUCUUUUCCCAUUAUGCAUCCUUUCAAAAUCCUUGGACCCGCCACCGGUACACUUACAUUAAGGUACAUGUACAUGCAUUAACUUACACAACGAUACGCUCAAAACUUCUAUAUAUGUGCAUGUGAACUAGAUGAAUUCAUCGAUCAUUAGUUAUUGAUACAUAUGACCUCAUUUGAUUCAAACGUCUAGAGUAUCCAUGUGUGUUAUGCCCUAUUUUGGAAAAGUGUAUGAUUUUCAUAUUGCUUGGGAGCAUUUAAUAGUAACUUUUUAUUUACAAUUUCUAGAACAGAGCUGGUUAGAAUUGUGUUUUAGGAUAUAUAAACUGUGAAUUUUGUAGUCAAAACACUUUGCAGAAUUACAUUGGAUAUUACAUUACUGGGGACUGAACUUAACUGAGUUGUGUAUUUCAUUCUUCGAAGGCGCUAUAAAAUGGGGUAUCCUUGCAUGUAAAUUCCACUCAGCAGUGAACAAAUAACACACACUAUUCUAUAAAUAUUGAUUACAGUAAGUUUAAAUUGAAGUUUUUCAUUGAUAUAUUUUAUUGUAAUUAAAAUGUUAAAUUUCUGAAUUGUGUUAUUGAUAUCAGCAGGCAUUUUGGGUACAUGUAAUUCUGAUGCUUCAAAUAUAACAUGUAUGCUAUAGUACAGAGUGUAUAUUUAGCGUGUUUUGUGGGUUUUAAUCAAAAUCUGACUCUGAGAGUUUGCAUAAACGUGUUGCAUGUCAGCAAAAACUAAAAAAAAAAAAAAAAAAAAAAAAAAAAAAAAUAAACAUUAAAAAAUUGAAAAUUAAAAACAAAAAA